rnacentral:rRNA from 1 species
GACAGAGGGGGCAAGCGUUGUCCGGACUGACUGGGCGUAAAGCGCGCGCAGGCGGUCAGAGGCGUCGGUGCUCAAAGUCCACCGCUUAACGGUGGGAGGCGUGCCGAUACGCUCUGACUGGAGGGCGGGCGAGGGUGGUGGAAUUGCCGGUGUAGUGGUGAAAUGCGUAGAUAUCAGGAGGAACACCGGUGGUGUAGACGGCUCACUGGACCGUAACUGACGCUGAGACACGAAAGCGUGGGUAGCAAACAGG